UUCGAGUAUAUUCAACAUCCCCUUGUCAAAGCCAAGUCGCAAUUAUCGACGCACACAAGUUUUCCUACUGUUGUAUUUAACUGUAGCGUUAUCAAGAAAGUCAACUUAUCAGAACGUGAGCCUGGAAACGCGAAAUUAAUCAGAAUCGGAAAAAAGAAAGCUUAGAAACCAUGAGAGGGAUGAAAGUUCUUGGAUUUUCGUUGAUGCUGACAACAUUAACACAUGCCUCACCUCGAAAGCCAUUCAUAAUUUCCCCCGUCAAAGAUUCAAGAUACUGCAGUGAGUCAAAGAUAAUAGCUGCCAUUUCGAAACAAGGUCGAAAGAAACGCGCGACAAAUCGAUGGCCAUACGAUUGCGCACAUCCAAGCAUUGUCAACCAAAAGGGCAGCUAUGUAUUUAUGUAUGAUAUUUACACCUGUUGCAAGCGGUGUGAAUUUCCAGCGUACAACAAUUGCAUGAAAAAGAACCUCCGCUCUUCGUCAUGGCGAUGCCCCAGUGAAGGCAUCCAUUGCAUAGUUCGAUGCAUCAAAAAAUAUGGACCACAGGAAACUAAGAUCAUAAGAAAUAACUGUAGCAGAAGACGUCGCACAUUUAGGUCCCGGCGUCGCAAACUCUUUUUCCGACGUCGCAAAUUCUUUUUCCGACGUCGCAGAUCCUUUGUCCGGCCCCCUGCGUCAAAAUGUGAAAGAGUUGAAAGACGACCAAAUGGCAAAACCUGUAUACGUAGAUUGUGCAUCAAGUUGAUAGUGUAACUGUUUAAGAUAAAUGUGAGGAAUCGAGCAUAGGCAAGUAGCAGUUUUCUUGAAAGAAAAUAAAAAUCAAAUCUCGACUUUAAA